UGUGCAUGAAUGUUCGGAUGAUAACCGGGCUAAGUCCCGAGAGCAUUUGAGCUAGUGGCUAAUUUCGGGCUAAGUCCCGAAGGCAUUUGUGCGAGCUACUAAUUCCGGGCUAAGUCCCGAAGGCAUUUGUGCGAGUUAUUAUACCGGGCUAAGUCCCGAAGGCAUUUGUGCAAGUUACUAUAACCGGGCUAAGUCCCGAACGCAUUUGAGCUAGUGGCUAUAUCCGGCUAAACUCCGAAGGUACUUGGUUUGGG
rnacentral:lncRNA from 1 species